GCCGGCAGCUAGCUCUCUGCAACUCUCACAUGAUCGCCUACUAAAGCUAAGCAGGGCUACGCCUGGUCAGUACAUAGAUGGGAGACCACAUGGGAAAGCUAAGGUUGCUGCCUGAA
ensembl:rRNA 5S_rRNA 5S ribosomal RNA